ensembl:lncRNA
CACUGCAGAUGCAUUUUAUUGAACUCACACAUCAUUUGAACAUUUUUGAUCAAAUAUACUAAUAUUUGGAGAUUUCACAGAAAAUCCUAGACUCCUCUCUUGAACAUUGGAAGAUCUGGUCCCACUGGACCCAUGGUGGAACAGCAUCAGCUGGAAGGGAGUUGCAGCCACCCGCUGCAGACAGCGCUGGCGUUUCUCUUGUCCUUAUACCUUUUCCAUUUCACUGAUUUACAUUCCCUGAAUUUCCCCUGUAGGAAAUUAACUACUGAUCCCAGUCUUAUAAUAAAGCUCUGUUCCUUAAUUUUAAUUACCCUGAGUAGAAUUUCUGUUCCUGGCCACAAAACAGCACUGAUGAGAGCUCUGUGGCCUACACAUCCAUGGCAGGCUCCUUGCAACCAUCACCUAUUCAACAGCCAUUGCUAUCCUUCUUCUGUGCUAACAGAAUCCCAAUUUUGUGUUCAAGAGACUGUGGGUAUCCCUUGGUGCUGGUAGGCCCUUCCUUCCAGCCCCAUAGCAGGACUUGUGCUGGGAUGGACAUGACACCCAGGUCGGAUCAAUGAGAAGCAAUGGUAAAUCUGCUGGGGGACUUCCUUUUCUAACCAAAACCAACAGACUCUUCUGAAAGAAAACGUUUUAUGACUGUUCCUUUCCCAUUCUACUUUCUUUGAAAAUAAAUAUGAUGUCCAGCACAGGGGCAGCCAUUUUGUGACCAUGAGGUUUCAAGCACAGGGUCAAAUGGCCGAAAUGCAGAGGAUGGUGACAAGGAAAGGCAAAAAGAAGCUGGGUUCUUGAUAACAUUGUUACAUGUUGAACCUUCUCUGAUCUCUGCCUGGUUUUGGUUCUAAUGGUUUAAGCAACUAUUGACUGGGAUUACUGUUAUUAGGUUGUUGCAAAAGUAAUUGCAUUUGGGAGGCUGAGGUGGACGGAUCACUUGAGGUCAGGAGUUUGAAACCAACCUGAUCAACAUGGUGAAACCUGUCUGUACUAAAAAUACAAAAAUUAGCCAAGCGUCAAGCUGGGCACCGUAAUCCCAGCUACUCGGGAGGCUGAGACGGGAGAAUCACUUGAACCUGGGAGGUGGAGUUGCAGUGAGCUGAGACUCCGUCUCAAAAAAAAAAGUAAUUGCAGUUUUUGCCGUUGAAAGUAAUGGCAGGGAGACUUUUGAUCUCAUCAUUCAAGGCUUUCUGUUGCUUAAUAUUAUAUUAAAAACAAUGAAUAUUCAUACUCAUUUCAAAGUCAAUUCCUAAGAUACUGUUUCAUCCCAUUGUGAACACCACCAAGGUCUGUUAUAUGUUUUUCAGAAUACUUGAAGUAAGAGAAAGACAGAAAUACAUAGCUCUGGCUACACUAAAUAUAUUUUGCCACUUUCUGAGAUCUUUCCUAACUCUGAGAGAAACAUGGCAUUUCCAUUAAUGAAAACAGGAGCUUUUUAAAUAGGAUUGUUCAAAAUUAGAUACAAAUGUCUUCAGCUAAAGGUCUCACGUAUUCAGAGGUUGGGGUGCCUUUUGUGAUAGCUCUUAUAUCAUUUGAUAAUAUUGAUUUUUUUGAACAGGGCAGGCUAUUUAGAAGGCAAUGAGGUUUUUUUGUUGUUGUUUUUUGUUUUGUUUUGUUUUUGAGAUGGAGUCUUGCUCUGUCGCCCAGGCUGGAGUACAGUGGUGCAAUCUCAGCUCACUGCAAGCUCCGCCUCCCAGGUUCACGCCAUUCUCC